GAGGUGGCGCUGUGGGUCAGAGCAUCGGACCAUUAACCAGAAGGUUGGUGGUUCAAUCCCACCCAGGGACG